rnacentral:rRNA from 1 species
UACGAAGGGGGCUAGCGUUGCUCGGAAUCACUGGGCGUAAAGCGCUCGUAGGCGGAUUGUUAAGUCGGGGGUGAAAUCCUGGAGCUCAACUCCAGAACUGCCUUCGAUACUGGCAAUCUUGAGUCCGGGAGAGGUGAGUGGAACUCCGAGUGUAGAGGUGAAAUUCGUAGAUAUUCGGAAGAACACCAGUGGCGCAGGCGGCUCACUGGCCCGGUACUGACGCUGAGGUGCGAAAGCGUGGGGAGCAAACAGG